CCCAGCCUGGGCUGGAAUCCAGGAGCAUGACAAUAAUGGGGCAAUGGUUUUAUUUUCAGAUGUUGAAGUGGGUAAGAGUAGCGGUGGACCCCGCUACUCUUACCUUCAUCAGGUACAUGAGUUCAGUCACCAGGUCUUCCAGAGACCUCUUGAGAACAAGCUCUUUGUGCUGACAAAAUAUUAGUUCCACGCUCCAAGGUCCACAUUCCUGGGCUACGUCAUUGCAGAGAGGCAGCUCCAGAUGGACCCAACCAAGGCUUAAUGAGGUGGACAAAAAUUAUGGGAUCGGAGACAGGGAACUCUCGGCGAUGAAGAUGACAGAAAAAUGGUAGCAUUUUCUAGAAGGAGCAGAACACUCAUUCAUCAUGUGGACCAAUCAAAAUAAUUUGGAUUACAUCCACUCUGCUAAGAGACUGACGCCCUGUCAAGCCAGGUGGGCACUGGUUUUUGACCUGUUCACAUUCACUUUGUUCUAUUGCCGAGAGUCCCAUAACGUCAAGCCUGUCCUGCCAGUUUGCUACAGGAUGCCAAAACCGAUGCUGAUACUGUCUUGCCUCGCAGUUGCUUUGACGUCAAUUACAUUGGAAAAAGAAACACUGAUAAAGGAGCCUCACUCCCAACGCACACUGCUCCACCCCUCCUCCUCCAUGAAUGAUUGAUGGACAUACCACUUACUCUGUGAACAAGCUCCUGGAUGAUCAUUACUGUGAGUAAUGUCUCCAGUGCCUGGUUGAAUGGGACACCUAUCUGGCAAGCUCUCUGCCUACGACCAACUCAUUGUCGGAUGGUUGGAUAUGAACUUUGUUCCACGGAAACUGUGAGCCAACAGCUGGAUGAUGAACGUGCAGUGGCUUCCUGGCAGACAAGCUCCUUGGGGCAAAGCAAACAUAUUUGAUGGAUCACCUGUUUGGGUCCGAAUUGCUCGCCAUUUAGUUGGAAAGUUGUGAUGUCAUUGUAAGAUUGAAUGUCAGCUGCUAUAUAUUUCCAAGAUGCAAAGAGGAGGAUUUACUAUACGGUGCGAUUUAUGAAUCGGUGCGGUACGCUUAUCGAGUUGCUCAUUUAAAAAAAAAAAAAAAAACAACAACAACAUAUAUUUACAACUUCUGGGAGCAUAAAGAAUAGGAUUUGUGCUUUAUUUCUGACAGAAAGAGGACAGUUAUAUGAAUUCUCAGUAUAGACCACUGAAUUGAUUAAUUAGAAUGAACUUAACCCAAUGCCUCCAGCUGUUUGGUACGUAAUUUCUGUCAGACAUAAUGUUAAGUGUCUAUUGUCAGCAAAAGAGUUUAGAUUCCAUUAUUCUAAAAAAGUAUUAUAUCAAGUUUUAUUAUGUAGCAUCUCUAUGCAUAUCUGUAGCGAUGCGGGAGAGGAGUGAAAAACAAAAUACACAAAAACAAAAUUUUGUCAACAAAAUAGCAGUUUCUUAACAUUUUAAGUGUGUUCGUCUCAGUGAGGUUUUUGAAAGCUGAGAUAGAAGCAAUGACAACACAAAAUUGGCAACAGUGGGCGUGAACGACUACCAUUAAGCUUGAGCAGAUGAGACAGAAAAUCUAUUACACAGUUUUUGUGCUAACGCAGUCAGAAUUUUAUGAUGCCAACAUAAAAAAACUUGCUCGGGUCGUAUGGCACAAGACUAUAAAUACAGCUGAACAGCAUCAGCCUCUGUCUUCAUACACGUGAGCAAACAAAGCAGAGUGAAUUUAAAACUAUCCAACAAGCUCAGCGGCUUGAGACUUUGACAAAUCUUGCCGUGCCCGACAAUGAAGAAGCGGUUCUCCAUAAUUGGUGCCUGCACACCUAUGUUGUAUUUUGUCUUCAUUCAACCGGGUGGGUGUGAAUCAGUUGUGGCAGACAAAGCUCAACUCUUUCUUUUUUUUUUUUUUUUUUUUUGCCCCAGUUUCUUUCUACCAGUCGAAGAUUGUAAUGCUGAUUCAUUUGGAAAUCUAUUGGAAAUGAGUCUCAUGGGAAAGGCAGCCAGUUCUUUUAAGCAACUGCGAAAAGAAAUGAAGGACGAAGAUAAAAACUUCUUUCAAGUGGACAUUAAACAUUAAAAUGCCCGACCUUAACUUUUGGAAUUAGAGGAAAUACCUUCUUGUUAAAAUGGCUUUUAGAGACGCGCAGCCAGGAUACAUCAAUUUGUAAAACUUACUUCUUUUUCCUUUUUUUACAUGAAUGAUUAACAAGUGAUUUGGCAACCAAAAGAUUUCUUCUUCUUUCUUGUAUUUAAUAUGAUGAAAAAUCUUUUUUUCUUUCAUUUAUAAACAGCUCAGAUACUUCCCGAAAUCCCAGCCAAGAUGCUACUUGGUGUUGUUCACUUCUCCCUCAGCAGAUUAUCAUGUUUCAUAACACUCACACUGCAUAUUAUCUCUACCUCAAUAGUGGUCAACAUGCAAAGUAGCGUCAGUACAGUAUACUUAAUUAGCAAAUCAGUGAGAUUUUUGUUGUAACACCUCCUCUCUUUUUGCCCGCGAAUCUGCACUUAGUUUGGGGCUCUUCAAUGGAAAAACAGAGCUGUGGACAUUUUACGAGUAUAAUUAGAAGUGAAGCUGGAUCCAUCUAAUGGUUUCACGCAAUUUGGCUGUGUUGCCAUUGGCCAUUCAGUAAUUGUCAGUUCUGUCUACACUUCCGAUGAGCAGCAGCCAUUUCUCAAAGACAUUACUUUGACCAUUUCUGUUUUCAUUUGCUAAAGUUAAGAAUGCACUUUUUCCUGAAAAAGAGCUUCCUAAAAGCUUAUUGAAUGUUUUUUUUUUACUUCUUUAUUUUUUUUUCUUACAAU